UACGUAGGUGGCAAGCGUUAUCCGGAAUUAUUGGGCGUAAAGAGGGAGCAGGCGGCAGCAAAGGUCUGUGGUGAAAGACUGAAGCUUAACUUCAGUAAGCCAUAGAAACCGGGCAGCUAGAGUGCAGGAGAGGAUCGUGGAAUUCCAUGUGUAGCGGUGAAAUGCGUAGAUAUAUGGAGGAACACCAGUGGCGAAGGCGACGAUCUGGCCUGCAACUGACGCUCAGUACCGAAAGCGUGGGGAGCAAAUAGG
rnacentral:rRNA from 1 species